UACGGAGGGAGCAAGCGUUGUCCGGAAUCAUUGGGCGUAAAGCGCGCGUAGGCGGCCUCAUAAGUCCGUUGUGAAAGUCAAAGGCUCAACCUUUGAAAGCCGAUGGAUACUGUGAGGCUAGAGUCCGGAAGAGGCGAGUGGAAUUCCUGGUGUAGCGGUGGAAUGCGCAGAUAUCGGGAGGAACACCAAUAGCGAAGGCAGCUCGCUGGGACGGUACUGACGCUAAGGCGCGAAAGCGUGGGGAGCGAACAGG
rnacentral:rRNA from 1 species